rnacentral:rRNA from 1 species
UACGUAGGGGCCUAGCGUUGUCCGGAUUUAUUGGGCGUAAAGAGCUCGUAGGCGGCACGGUUAGUCAGGUGUGAAAUCUCCACGCUCAACGUGGAGGGGUCACCUGAUACUGCCGAGCUUGAGUCCGGUAGGGGAGUGCGGAAUUCCCGGUGUAGCGGUGAAAUGCGCAGAUAUCGGGAGGAACACCCGUAGCGAAGGCGGUUCUCUGGGACGGUACUGACGCUGAGACGCGAAAGCGUGGGGAGCGAACAGG